rnacentral:rRNA from 1 species
CAGUCGCCGCGGGAAUACGAAGGGUGCAAGCGUUAAUCGGAAUUACUGGGCGUAAAGCGCGCGUAGGUGGUUUGGUAAGAUGGAUGUGAAAUCCCCGGGCUCAACCUGGGAACUGCAUCCAUAACUGCCUGACUAGAGUACGGUAGAGGGUGGUGGAAUUUCCUGUGUAGCGGUGAAAUGCGUAGAUAUAGGAAGGAACACCAGUGGCGAAGGCGACCACCUGGACUGAUACUGACACUGAGGUGCGAAAGCGUGGGGAGCAAACAGGAUUAGAUACCCGAGUAGUCCCUGUCUCUUAUAA